ensembl:lncRNA
UUCUGAUGGCGUUCACUCUGGCAGCACCACCCAUUCCCUGCAGCUGCUUUUUGCACACAGGAUGCAGAGGAGAGCCGUGGGGUUGCUGCUCUCCAGACGCAGACAGCGCACCGUGUGAGUAAUGCGUUACCUCUCGUUCAGCUCCUGCAUAGUCCCCACUGUAGUCAGUAGCACCAUUUCUCCCUGAAAUAAUUUCAGCUGGAGGGUGCAGCUUUCCCUAAAUUGUGCUUCUGAAAUGGUAUUUUGAAAUGAAAGACUUAAAAUUGGUAUUUGAAUUUGAGACUGAAUUUGAUUACCAGGGUAGCUCCUUAGCUGGAUUUUGAGCUCAGGCCUUGUGAAGCUGCUCAGCGCCCCGGCUUCUCACCUGACUUUGCAUAAACCAAAUGCCAAAUUAAUAACAUUUCCCACAGCAAAUUCCACUGUCCGUCUGCACUGAUUCCCCCUCGCCAUGCUGACGCCCAAGGCAGCUCACCGUGUGCCAGUGAAGAAAAUACUGGCAACCCUUCAGGGCAGGAGCAGGCACGGAGCAGGAGCAGCAGCAGGCAGGCAAGGGACUGAUCCGUGAGCACCGUGUAUGCCCUAUAUCUCAGUGCAAGGAGAGGCAUUUUCUCUCUUUUCUUCCUUCUAAAGCAUUUCAGAACAUACAGGGGACUGCACUACAGACUGACCUGUAGAACCACAGCACAUCCCUGGCGGAGGGGAGCCCGCCAUCCCAGCUGCCAUGGGAGGACAUGCCAGGGGCUCACCCAGCCUUUGUCCUUCGCGCCAUGAAAUCCUCUGGCACUGGGGACACACACCCAGGGCAGCUGUGCAGGGCUGAUGGCUCUCCCUGGGAAAUAUUUCCUCCUGGUGGCAAGAAGAAACUUUUGCUGGUGCCACUGCCCUGUGUCCUCUGUGUGGAUCCUGGUGUCAGGGCUUGACAAGAGUUCAUCUGUGGCUUGGCUAAUGUGCAGAGCAUAGUCUGACUGGCUCUGCUCAGUGCUGUGCUAACACUGCAAAAGGAACUUGAGCCCUCCUUGGAAUAUGAGCAAGUUUAUUAAAGUCAGCAGUGCAACGGGAAAGUAUGGAUUGCAUUUUAUGUGGACUGAGCUCACCUCAGCGUGUUACAAAAAGGGGGACUGCUUCCUGUGCUGUGCAGACAGGAGGAUUUCCUUGUUGAAAUGUCACCAUAAUAAACAGCUGCAUAAUAUUUAUGGUGGGGCACUGCUCUGGUGAGGGCUGGGGCAGCUGUAUGCUGGUGUGAGGAGAAGGAGAAGGAGGAGGAGAGGAAGAGGAACCUGAAUGGCACAGAUAAGCCUCGAUGUCCUUGCCCAGCCCAGCUGCCCUGCCCUGCUCCCGCACCCCCUUGCUCAAGGCCAGGGCCAGUUUCAUUCCAUCCCAGUGGUGCUGCAGGAUCCCCAUCACACCCCAUGCCUGCCGCAGGUGUGCCUGACCCAACCCAGCAAUGCCCAUGUCACAGGAGGCUGCUGCCAGGCACUGCCUGCAGCCAGCAUCACCCAGGCACAGCAUGCAGUGCCCUGCCAAACUGUGGCCUUGCAGCCGCUGCCCCAUCCUCCAUCAGCACGGCUCAGUGUGCCCAGGCUGGCUGUGCUGUUACCGUGCUCACAGUUAUGGGCAUCAAGGUGGGCAGGCUGCACUGUGGACAGUGAGCGCUGGCUUUGCAAUGCAGGACACCUGCCUGGUGAACCCACCUGCUCUAACUCUCUACAUCUGUCUCUAAGUGCUUUCAGAGAACCAAACUGCAGGAGGUAAUGCUGCCAGCAGAUUCUGUUUUCCCUGUCAUUGGGUUAACUGAGGAACAAAGACAAGAGUAAAAAUACCAGCUCUAAAAACCAUGGGGUGCAGGAGCUCUGUGCUAGAAAAAUUUCCUUUCACCUUCAGGAGGGGUGAUGGCAUCGAGCACCCUUUGUGGCGAUCCUAAGGGCGGCCAGGCUCAGCGUGUCUCUGGUUGCAAGCAGGGAAGGCUUCCAGCCAUGCAUCCCAGCAGAGCCCCAGUGACCGAGGGCAGCUCUUCCAGCAAGGCUCAGCUCCCACUUCUGGAGCGUGCGUUUGUUCUGUGCUCAGGAUGGAGCGCUUACCUGAGAGCUCCACCACUGAUGAGUGAGUUUAUAACGUGGAGGGGACCUACUGCUGCACCUCCUCUGUCUGCCUUGUUUGUUAAUGUCCUGAAUCUCCUCAUGAAUGGCUGCGCUGAUUUCUGCAGUUGCUUAAUAAAACCAAACUACUUCCCAAAAGGAGGAGUGCAGGUAGGCAGGCUGCUGGGAUCUGAGCAGGUAGGCUUUGGCAGACACGUGGCAGCUUUUGCAGAUAAGUUCAUUGCACUUCACUUCAUGUUUCUGUGUGUUUCUGAUUAUUUUUUUUUUCUUUUUGCAGAAAUACUGAAUUUAUCUAAUUAAUAUUUUUUUGAGCCCCAGCAAUGCAUUUGUCAUGGUUCAUAGUACCCCUGCUCUGUGUCAGUUCCUCCAAGUACAAAGGAAUCCCUCUGCAUCCUGUUGGCUUUCCCUGCUCUGCAGACCUAAAACCCUUGGAGAACGUCAGAGAACAGCCCUGCUGCAUUGGAGAUUGGCACAGGACAGUGCUGUGCACAUGGAGGCCAGGUGGGAGAUCUGGCUCACUGAGUGCAGGACUCUGAGGAACUGGUAACUGAUGCACAAAGCUGCGUCCUGGGCGUUGUGCCACCUCACAGCAUGACACGGUGAUACACGGUCGCCAACGUCCCCUGGGGUGGGUGAGCACAGCUCCAGAGCUCCUCGUCCUCAUCUCCUUCAAGUCUGAGACUGUUGCAGUGGGUGGAUUCGCUGACAGAACUGAGCCAUCUGGCAGACCCUGCCUGCUCCGCUCUGUUAAUGGCCCUGGGAUGUGGGCAGGACACGGGCUGAGCGGUAAGGAGCCCUGCUGUGCUGUGCGUGCUGCCUACCACGAAGCUGUGUUGAGCAGUGCCAGGAGCACAGGAAACAGGCAGCUGUUCCCUGCCCACCACGUACAGCACUGCCAUCCCUGCGCGGGGUCAGGGUGCUGCGCGCCACCGCUUGCUGUGCUGCAAUAAGCGCUUACUGCAGCAGUGCUGGGGCUGAAGCGCUGCUGUCUGUGCACCAUAGAGAACAAAUCAGAACGUGCUGACAAACUGGAACACCCUGGAUGGGAGGAUUCUGGCCUGUUUCCCAGCAAGUGGCUGAGUGCCCCCGUGCAGCUCCUGGGAACAAACAGCCCCGCUCACAUCACAGCUCACAGACACCAGGUGUCAGCUCCCCUUGCUGACAGUAACCAUCACCGGACAAAAGAGAUCCCGCAUUUCAGGGCUGCCUUCCUAAGGCGCGGGCUGGCACUACCAGCACGUAACCCCAGUUCUUACUGUGGCAAACUGCAGCUGCCUGAGGGUGAGAGCCCUCGCAGGGCAGCUCUCAUGAGGACUUGGGGGUGCUUUGGAGAAAAAAAUCAAAGAAUGGCUGUGGGUAAAUAAGGGCUCUUAUUUCAUCUACUGGAUUCUGUGAAGAGAGUCGGGGAACUACACCAGGCUGUCGGCUGUACUUUCAAAGUGGUGCAAGGAGCCCUGCUUUGCUGCAUUUUCUUACAGAGGCCGGCUGUUGGAGGAUUUCAUCCCUGGUGGGAAGAUCUGCAGAGGAAGAAGUCACGUCACUGCACUCCCUGCAGCACUUGUCAUGCAGGGGGUGGGCACGGUCAGCCCUCGCGAUGAAAGCCCACAUCAGAACGUGCUGCCUCUGCAUUUUGGCACUGCAGGAUGCUCCGUAUAUAAGCUGUCACUGUCAUGAAAUGCAUUCCCACCUGUUUCAGUCCCAGCAGCCCCAUUGCAACUAUGAGCUGGGCCCACUGACCGGCCCCGGUGCUGCGGGAGCUGCCGACAGCAGACACCUCCAGGAUGAGCACAGUAACUCCCAGGGAUGUGAGUGCAGGGCAGCCCCAGCCCGGGGUCAGAUGAGGCCAGCAGGGCAGCUGCCUGCCGCCUCAGCCCCCCCUCACCCCGUGCCCCCCAGAGCCCCACGCUGUGUUUUUCCCAGGGCAGUCCAUCACUGCCUUUGGGCCUGAACUUAUUGCUGCUUGCAGGCAUACAGGUGAAUCACAGCCGGGCAGACAAAGCCCACGCCAAUUUUGCUGCCACCUGGUGCACUGCUAUGCUAAUCAUUGACCAUUAUAAAUCCUUCUUUAUGAGAUUCCAAGCAAUUACAUUUCCUGCUCUAAAAACACACCAGGAAGGUAAGGAGCUCAAAGGUAAGCAAUCUUAUUUAAUCUGGAGUUCAUGCUGUUCAUUUACAAGAAAGCUGCUUGCUGUGGAUAUUAAAGCAUUAAGGUGCAGCUGCAGAAUGAAGUUCUUAAACGAGGUAACGUGGCUGCUCCACAUACGGAGCGCAGCCUGCGGCCAUCGGUGGGUUUCUCAUUGGUUUGUAAAGGUCUGUGCACGUGCAAAUUGGAACGUGUGCACCUGUGCCAUGAGAGCACAGAGAGCCACGUAACCCCGAACGGCAGCAACAGGAAUUUAGAGGAGUUUUUUCGGAACAAACUGAAAUCUUUCAUGACUGUUCCUGGGCACCGAAUGGGAUCAAGGUCAGAGCUGCAGCUGCUGUUCUGCAGCUGGUAAUCAGGAUGGAUUCCGAAGAAACGCACCGGUUAAGAAAUCACGGUGUUUCAGCUGUGUUUGUGCUCCGGGAUCACAGCUCAGCAGCACUCCAGGUCAGCCGUAGGAGCACCGCACUCAGACGCCGCAGCACCCGCAGCCCCGCCCCGCGCAGCCCCGCGCAG